AGAGUUUGAUCAUGGCUCAGGACGAACGCUGGCGGCGUGCCUAACACAUGCAAGUCGAGCGGAGGUAAGCGGAUGGUAACUGAAGCUUACUUUAGCGGCGGACGGGUGAGUAACACGUGGGCAACCUGCCUCGAAGUGGGGGAUAACAUCGAGAAAUCGAUGCUAAUACCGCAUAACAUACAGACAUCGCCUGAUGACUGUAUCAAAGGAGAAAUCCGCUUUGAGAUGGGCCCGCGGCUGAUUAGCUAGUUGGUGAGGUAAUGGCUCACCAAGGCGACGAUCAGUAGCCGACCUGAGAGGGUGACCGGCCACACUGGAACUGAGACACGGUCCAGACUCCUACGGGAGGCAGCAGUGGGGAAUAUUGCGCAAUGGGGGAAACCCUGACGCAGCAACGCCGCGUGGAGGAAGAAGGUCUUCGGAUUGUAAACUCCUGUCUUCUGGGACGAUAAUGACGGUACCAGAGGAGGAAGCCACGGCUAACUACGUGCCAGCAGCCGCGGUAAUACGUAGGUGGCGAGCGUUGUCCGGAAUUACUGGGCGUAAAGGGCGCGUAGGCGGCUCUUUAAGUCAGAUGUGAAAACCCAGGGCUUAACUUUGGGAGUGCAUUUGAAACUGAAGGGCUCGAGUGCAGGAGAGGUAAGUGGAAUUCCUAGUGUAGCGGUGAAAUGCGUAGAUAUUAGGAGGAACACCAGUGGCGAAGGCGACUUACUGGACUGUAACUGACGCUGAGGCGCGAAAGCGUGGGGAGCAAACAGGAUUAGAUACCCUGGUAGUCCACGCUGUAAACGAUGGAUGCUAGGUGUGGGAGGUAUCGACCCCUUCCGUGCCGCAGUUAACGCAAUAAGUAUCCCGCCUGGGGAGUACGGCCGCAAGGUUGAAACUCAAAUGAAUUUGACGG
rnacentral:rRNA from 1 species